CAGCAGCCGCGGUAAUACGUAGGAGGCGAGCGUUAUCCGGAUUCACUGGGCGUAAAGCGCGUGCAGGCGGUUCGGUAAGUUGGGCGUGAAAUCUCCUGGCUUAACUAGGAGAGGUCGUUCAAUACUACCGGACUUGAGAGUGGUAGAGGAAGAUGGAAUUCCCGGUGUAGUGGUGAAAUGCGUAGAUAUCGGGAGGAACACCAGUGGCGAAAGCGAUCUUCUGGACCAUUUCUGACGCUCAGACGCGAAAGCUAGGGUAGUAAACGGGAUUAGAGACCCCGGUAAUCCUAGCCGUAAACGAUGUUAACUUGGCGUUGGUGGCUUAAACUCCAUCAGUGCCGUAGCAAACGCGAUAAGUUAACCGCCUGGGGACUACGAUCGCAAGAUUAAAACUCAAAG
rnacentral:rRNA from 1 species